rnacentral:lncRNA from 10 species
CUGGCCAGGCGGGAGGGGCGGGGACGCAGCCGGAAGGCUGGAGGUUCCUGGAAGGUGAGGCUGGCUUGCCUUCUUGAUUUAUGUGGCCAAAGGGUAGCAGCCACCUCUGCAAAGGUCCAGUGAAGAGUCCCCUUUCCCCCAAGUAAUGCCGAGAAGAGAGAGGCAGGUGCAGCCAGCGAUGCGGCGGAGUCUCCGCAAGAGAGCGAGGGCCUGGCGUGGGGCGCACACGCACGCGCGUCUUGGGUCCCUGCAGAGAGGUGUCCCCAGUGCUGUGCCCUGUUCGGUGCCGGGAGCGGUGCCACGGGCCCGCCGCCGCCCUAGUAAGGUGUCGGGGCCUUUGCGCGCCUAGCGCCAUGGCCGCGUCGCCGCUCCUCCGCACCUCCCAGGCUCCACGAACACGGCCAGGCAUUUCCAAGUAGAGGGCAGAACCCUCUCCCCAUCUCCCCACUUAGCACCUGGGAGGCCCCGUGGAGGAGGCUAGGACCUCUGGGGGUUCCACACUCUGCUGGUGGUGCUGGCUCCUGGCGGGAGCUUCUGCCCUCACGGGGCGGCCUCCCGGUUCCGCUGUAGGAAAGCCCUGCCCGACGUCUCCUGGAAGGGCCCUCCAUGGUGAGUUAUGGGCUAAAACUACCCUUCUCGAAAUGCGAACAAUCAGAAGGAUCCUCCCGCCCCCCAUCCUUUACUCCCAAAUAAGCUCCACGGACUUUCUCAAACCCAACCCAUUAAUGUAGAAAAAAAAAAAAAUAGAAUUGGUAUCUGAGCUGCAGAGGUGGGAAAGGUGGACUCCAAGCCCCAGGGAAAGAGCUCCUGUUUAGCCGCCAAGCCCUUCCCCACAGGUGACUGGUGGUUUGAACUGAGGGCAGGGACCAGCUGUCCCCUCCCAUGUCCACACUAGCUGGGGCACACCGUCUUCUGUGUUUUCCUGCCUUGGCUCAACACAUAGGCCUCUCCAAAUCCUUCCAACCCGAACAAUGGAAGGGAAGAAGGAAAGGAGGGGCUGAGGAAGGAAACAGACACUGACCAAAGCCCAGAGGUUGGAAACCAUGGCCACAUAAGACAUGCUGGCUUCUCCUUCACUUUCCACCAUGAUUGUAAGUUUCCUGAGACCUCCCCAGCCAUGCUUCCUGUAUAGCCUGCAGAACUCUCUUAAAAGCAGAGAUGAAGAGAAAAGAGUGAGUUCAAAAGACAGAGCAUGAGAAAGACCCCACCCGCUAUUACUGGCUUUGAAGAUGGAGAGAAGAGGCCACAAGCCAAGGAAUGCAGCAGCUUCCAGAAGCAUGAAAGAGCCCUUAGGUUACAGCCAGCAAGGGAAGGAAACUGCGACCCUACAGCCACAAGACUUGACUUCUGCCAACAGCCAGAAGGAGCAGGAAAUACGUUCUCCCUGAGAGCCUCCAGAAAGGAACACAGUCUGCCCACACCUUAAUUUUAGCCUGGGGAGGCCCAUACCAGGUCUCUGCUUUACAGAAUUGUAAGAUAAUAAAUUUGGAGUUUUUUUAAACUACUAAAUUUGUGGUCAUUUGUAAAGGCAGUAACAGAAAAACUAAAACACUUUACUAUCUAUACGUAGAUUUAACUGCUUUUUUUUUUUUUCUUUUUAAGAGAUGGUCUCACUCUGUUGCCCAAGUUGGAGUACAGAGGUGCAAUCAUAUCUCACUGCAGCCUUGAACUCCUGGGCUCAAGCCAUCCUCCCACCUCAGGCUCCUGGAUAACUGGGACUACAGGCACACCACCAUGCCUGGCUAAUUUUUUUUUUCUUUUUUUUUUUUAGAGAUGAGGUCUUGCUAUGUUGCCCAGCUGGUCUCAAAUUCCUAGCUUCAAAUGAUCCUCCCACCUUGGCCUCCCAAAGCUCUGGGAAUGAAGGCAUGAGCCACCAUGCCCAGUCUAGAUUUAACUUUUAAAUACAGUUCUAUUUUUAUAGGGGGGGAAAAUCCCAAAAUAGAAUAACAAGCAGGUUUUCUUUUACUCAGUUAACUAUUCCUAAGAGAAACCUUGAUAUUCUGGAUAUUUGAACCCUGAGACUAAUCCAGGCACCCUUUUCUCCUGGUAGCAGCUUGUGCAAUGAGGU